GUGGGGAAUAUUGGACAAUGGGCGAAAGCCUGAUCCAGCCAUGCCGCGUGUGUGAAGAAGGUCUUCGGAUUGUAAAGCACUUUAAGUUGGGAGGAAGGGCAGUAAGUUAAUACCUUGCUGUUUUGACGUUACCGACAGAAUAAGCACCGGCUAACUUCGUGCCAGCAGCCGCGGUAAUACGAAGGGUGCAAGCGUUAAUCGGAAUUACUGGGCGUAAAGCGCGCGUAGGUGGUUUUGUAAGUUGGAGGUGAAAUCCCCGGGCUCAACCUGGGAACUGCCUCCAAAACUGCAUGACUAGAGGACGGUAGAGGGUAGUGGAAUGUCCUGUGUAGCGGUGAAAUGCGUAGAUAUAGGAAGGAACACCAGUGGCGAAGGCGACUACCUGGACUGAUACUGACACUGAGGUGCGAAAGCGUGGGGAGCAAACAGGAUUAGAAACCCCGGUAGUCC
rnacentral:rRNA from 1 species